rnacentral:rRNA from 1 species
GAUGAACGCUGGCGGCAGGCCUAACACAUGCAAGUCGAGCGAGACCUUCGGGUCUAGCGGCGGACGGGUGAGUAACGCGUGGGAACGUGCCCUUUUCUACGGAAUAGCCUCGGGAAACUGAGCGUAAUACCGUAUACGCCCUUUGGGGGAAAGAUUUAUCGGAGAAGGAUCGGCCCGCGUUGGAUUAGGUAGUUGGUGGGGUAAUGGCCUACCAAGCCUACGAUCCAUAGCUGGUUUGAGAGGAUGAUCAGCCACACUGGGACUGAGACACGGCCCAGACUCCUACGGGAGGCAGCAGUGGGGAAUCUUAGACAAUGGGGGCAACCCUGAUCUAGCCAUGCCGCGUGAGUGAUGAAGGCCUUAGGGUUGUAAAGCUCUUUCAGCUGGGAAGAUAAUGACGGUACCAGCAGAAGAAGCCCCGGCUAACUCCGUG